GACGAACGCUGGCGGCGUGCUUAACACAUGCAAGUCGAACGGAAAGGCCUCUUUCGGGGGGUACUCGAGUGGCGAACGGGUGAGUAACACGUGAGUAACCUGCCCUUGACUUUGGGAUAACUUCAGGAAACUGGGGCUAAUACCGGAUAGGAGCUCCUGCUGCAUGGUGGGGGUUGGAAAGUUUCGGCGGUUGGGGAUGGACUCGCGGCUUAUCAGCUUGUUGGUGGGGUAGUGGCUUACCAAGGCUUUGACGGGUAGCCGGCCUGAGAGGGUGACCGGCCACAUUGGGACUGAGAUACGGCCCAGACUCCUACGGGAGGCAGCAGUGGGGAAUAUUACACAAUGGGUGGAAGCCUGAUGCAGCAACGCCGUGUGCGGGAUGACGGCCUUCGGGUUGUAAACCGCUUUCGCUCAUGACGAAGCUUUGUGUGACGGUAGUGGGUAAAGAAGCACCGGCUAACUACGUG
rnacentral:rRNA from 1 species